GUGCCAGCCGCCGCGGUAAUACGUAGGUGGCAAGCGUUGUCCGGAAUUAUUGGGCGUAAAGCGCGCGCAGGCGGGAUAUCAAGUCUGUCUUAAAAGUGCGAGGCUCAACCUCGUGAGGGGACGGAAACUGGUAUUCUUGAGUGUCGGAGAGGAAAGUGGAAUUCCAAGUGUAGCGGUGAAAUGCGUAUAGAUUUGGAAGAACACCAGUGGCGAAGGAGACUUUCUGGACGUGGUCUGACGCUGAGGCGCGA
rnacentral:rRNA from 1 species